AUGUAUUUGUUUAGUAAGAUUUCUAUGGCAAUAUAUAUUUUUUUGUUGCGCCAGAAUCACUUGAUUGUAUUUAAUCGGCAGAAUACAGGUAUAUAAACAGAACUUCUU